rnacentral:rRNA from 1 species
GAUGAACGCUGGCGGCGUGCCUAAUACAUGCAAGUCGAGCGAACGGACGAGAAGCUUGCUUUUCUGAUGUUAGCGGCGGACGGGUGAGUAACACGUGGAUAACCUACCUAUAAGACUGGGAUAACUUCGGGAAACCGGAGCUAAUACCGGAUAAUAUUUUGAACCGCAUGGUUCAAAAGUGAAAGACGGGCUUGCUGUCACUGAUAGAUGGAUCCGCGCUGCAUUAGCUAGUGGGUAAGGUAACGGCUGACCAAGGCAACGAGGCAUAGCCGACCUGAGAGAGGGAUCGGCGACACUGGAACUGGGACACGGUCCAGACUCCUACGGGAGGAAGCAGUAGGGAAUCUUCCGCAAUGGGCGAAAGCCUGACGGAGCAACGCCGCGUGGGUGAUGAAGGUCUUCGGAUCGUAAAACUCUGUUAUUAGGGAAGAACAUCUGUGUAAGUAACUGUGCAAAUCUUGACGGUACCUAAUCAGAAAGCCACGGCUAACUACGUG